rnacentral:rRNA from 1 species
GACGAACGCUGGCGGCGUGCUUAACACAUGCAAGUCGAACGGAAAGGCCCUGCUUGUGUGGGGUGCUCGAGUGGCGAACGGGUGAGUAACACGUGAGUAACCUGCCCUUGACUUUGGGAUAACUUCAGGAAACUGGGGCUAAUACCGGAUAGGAGCUCCUGCUGCAUGGUGGGGGUUGGAAAGUUUCGGCGGUUGGGGAUGGACUCGCGGCUUACCAGCUUGUUGGUGGGGUAGUGGCUUACCCAGGCUUUGACGGGUAGCCGGCCUGAGAGGGUGACCGGCGACAUUGGGACUGAGAUACGGCCCAGAGUCCUACGGGAGGCAGCAGUGGGGAAUAUUGCACAAUGGGCGGAAGCCUGAUGCAGCAACGCCGCGUGCGGGAUGACGGCCUUCGGGUUGUAAACCGCUUUCGCCUGUGACGAAGCGGGAGUGACGGUAAUGGGUAAAGAAGCACCGGCUAACUACGUG